rnacentral:rRNA from 1 species
GCGGCGCGUUUUAAGCAUGCAAGUCGCACGGUAAAGGUACUUCGGUAUCUCUAGAGUGGCGGACGGGUGAGUAACACGUGGAUAACCUACCCUUUGGUUGGGAAUAGCUCAUGGAAACAUGGGGUAAUACCGAAUACGACCACUGCACCACAAGGUGGAGUGAGGAAAGGCGCUACGGCGCCGCCGAAGGAUGGGUCCGCGGUCCAUUAGCUAGUUGGUGAGGUAAGAGCUCACCAAGGCGAUGAUGGAUAGCCGGCCUGAGAGGGCGACCGGCCACAUUGGGACUGAGACACGGCCCAGACUCCUACGGGAGGCAGCAGCUAAGGAUCUUCCGCAAUGGACGAAAGUCUGACGGAGCGACGCCGCGUGAACGAUGAAGGCCGUGAGGUUGUAAAGUUCUUUUCCGAGGGGAGAAUAAGGAUGGCAGGGAAUGGCCGUCUGAUGACGUGAACUCGGGAAUAAGCCCCGGCUAACUACGUGCCAGCAGCCGCGGUAACACGUAGGGGGCGAGCGUUGUUCGGAAUCAUUGGGCGUAAAGGGUGCGCAGGCGGUGAUACAAGUCUGGUGUGAAAGAUCUCGGCUCAACCGAGGGAUCGCGCUGGAAACUGUGUCACUAGAGUACAGGAGGGGAGUUGGAAUUCCAGGUGUAGGGGUGAAAUCUGU